rnacentral:rRNA from 1 species
GAGUUUGAUCAUGGCUCAGAUUGAACGCUGGCGGCAUGCCUUACACAUGCAAGUCGAACGGCAGCACGGGAGCUUGCUCCUGGUGGCGAGUGGCGAACGGGUGAGUAAUGCAUCGGAACGUAUCCUGGAGUGGGGGAUAACGUAGCGAAAGUUACGCUAAUACCGCAUAUUCUGUGAGCAGGAAAGCGGGGGACCUUCGGGCCUCGCGCUCUUGGAGCGGCCGAUGUCGGAUUAGCUAGUUGGUGAGGUAAAGGCUCACCAAGGCGACGAUCCGUAGCAGGUCUGAGAGGAUGAUCUGCCACACUGGAAUUGAGACACGGUCCAGACUCCUACGGGAGGCAGCAGUGGGGAAUUUUGGACAAUGGGGGCAACCCUGAUCCAGCCAUGCCGCGUGAGUGAAGAAGGCC